AUGUUGAAACAAUCAAUUCGUUAAAUAAUAACAAAGUAUUGGAAUCUAUCAUUAUUAACGACAAUGAUUCUAGUGUGAUUAACUUUGAAGAAACUAGUACUACUGAUGAUGGAAAAAUUUUAGAGUUUAUAUUAAAAUCUGGUCAAGUUAAUAAUGAAGAACAACCAACUGAUAACGACAAUGUAAUACAAUCUACUCUUUCAAACUUAAAUGAACACAACUUUAUUGAAUUAGCAAUUCCUGUUGUUUAUGACAACUCGAUUGUACCUGUACAGCAUGGAGAGAUUACAACAGAACUCACGAUUACUCAUCUCAAAGAUCCGGUAAUUAAUGAAAAUCAUCAAGUCGAACUCGAGAAGGAAAAUUUAAAUGGUGUUUCUCAAAAAACUGGCGUACAUCAUUCUAUUGAUGAGACUACAUCAACAGCUAUUGAUAAAGAUAAGUCACCGAAGAGACCAUUUAAGAAAAUAUUUACUUUACCGGUGGAUUAUUUACCAAAAAAAAAAAAGAAUUAAACUUGAAAAAUCAGGCAAGUCAAAGCUACCAUCUGUGGGAACCUCCGAUGAAUGGUACCAGCAACAAUUGGAAAAGGACAAAAAGAAAAAAAUGAAAGAAGAAAAACAAAAACAUAAAAAAAAAUUGCAAGAAGAAAAA